AUUGAACGCUGGCGGCAGUCCUAACACAUGCAAGUCGAGCGGAGUGGCGGACGGGUGAGUAAUGCCUAGGAAUCUGCCUGGUAGUGGGGGAUAACGUCCGGCAACGGGAGCUAAUACCGCAUACUCUCAGAUGAGCCUAGGCCGGAGUAGCUAGUUGGUGGGGUAGAGGCCUACCAAGGCGACGACCCGUAACUGGUCUGCGAGGAUGAUCAGUCAGACUGGAACUGAGACACGGUCCAGACUCCGACGUGAGUCAGCAGUGGGGAAUAUUGGACAAUGGGCGAAAGCCUGAUCCAGCCAUGCCGCGUGUGUGAAGAAGGUCUUCGGAUUGUAAAGCACUUUAAGUUGGGAGGCGUUACCAACAGAAUAAGCACCGGCUAACUUCGUGCCAGCAGCCGCGGUAAUUC
rnacentral:rRNA from 1 species